rnacentral:rRNA from 1 species
AGCGGUAAGGCUCCUACAGGUUAUUUGAUCACGGUGACUUCCAAGUCAUCACGGCAAUCCAUCGCGACCCCGGCUAGGGAAGAGAUGGUGCGGGAAGAUCGAGUGGCGUGUUGGAGUACACGAGCGGCGGACGGCUGAGUAACACGUAGGAACGUACCCCAAACUGAGGGAUAAGCACCAGAAAUGGUGUCUAAUACCGCAGGUGGUCUUCGGACUAAACCUUCGGGGCUCAAGGAGUGGCCUGCGUAUGAUUAGCUUGUUGGUGAGGUAAUAGCUCACCAAGGCGAUGAUCAUUAGCAGGUUUGAGAGGAUGAUCAGCCAGACUGGGACUGAGACACGGCCCAGACCCCUACGGGGGGNCAGCAAUUAGGAAUAUUUCGCAAUGGGGGAAACCCUGACGGAGCGACGCCGCGUGUAGGAUGAAGGCCUUCGGGUUGUAAACUACUUUUACUCGGGAGGAUUAUGACAGUACCGAGAGAAU